GACGUAGGGCGCGAGCGUUGUCCGGAUUUAUUGGGCGUAAAGAGCUCGUAGGCGGCUUGUCGCGUCGUCCGUGAAAACCUGCAGCUCAACUGCAGGCUUGCGGUCGAUACGGGCAGACUAGAGUGUGGUAGGGGAGACUGGAAUUCCUGGUGUAGCGGUGAAAUGCGCAGAUAUCAGGAGGAACACCGAUGGCGAAGGCAGGUCUCUGGGCCACUACUGACGCUGAGAAGCGAAAAGCAUGGGGGAGCGAACAGG
rnacentral:rRNA from 1 species